AAAGUGGCAUAUGCCACAGCAAUGGAUUGGUUCAUUGCAGUAUGUUAUGCAUUU
rnacentral:ncRNA from 1 species